rnacentral:lncRNA from 1 species
AAAUUUAUUUAAAAAUAUAUAAUUUUUUGGUUUUGAAAAAUACUGUUUUUCUUAGAAACUAGGAUUGUUGAAGAAAUUUCAAGCCUGAAGGCUUAUGUUGAAAGAGAAAUGGCAUGUCAAAGAAAUGCCGUCACCCGAAUUAUGGAGGAAGUUUUAACUAUUAAAAAUGAACUUAGAAAAUUUAACAAGGAGCGAGCAAGGGAUUUGGAAAGUUCUUCACACUUUACAGCAUUCCCGUUACACAAUGUAGAACAAAUAAAUAAUUUUGAAGAAGAAAUAUGUAAAGAAGAAUCAAUGCAAAUUCAACUUAAAACAUUUCUUAAACGAAUAGCCGGAGAGGAUGUCGCAUCUUUUACCAGAUACUCAUUAAAAAAAUUAUAACAGACGAAUGUGCCACAUAUUUUACGUGGACAGGAAGUAAAGAGAAGCCUGUAAUUCAGAAUUAUACUUUUAUACGCAUAAUUAAAGAUACGUGCUAUUCUCUUUACCCUAAUACCAAUGAAAAGCAGAUUAAAGUAAUAAUGCAAAGACACUUCCUCCACGCUAAAGAUAGAAUGGAAAGAAAAAAAAAAAACAAAAAUUAUGGCUAAUU